GAUGAACGCUAGCGGCAGGCUUAACACAUGCAAGUCGAGGGGUAGAGGAAGCUUGCUUCCUUGAGACCGGCGCACGGGUGCGUAACGCGUAUACAAUCUACCUUUUACAGAGGGAUAGCCCAGAGAAAAUUUGGAUUAAUACCUCAUAGUAUUUUCGGAUCGCAUGAUUUGAUUAUUAAAGUUCCAACGGUAAAGAUGAGUAUGCGUCCAUUAGCUAGAUGGUAAGGUAACGGCUUACCAUGGCAAUGAAUGGUAGGGGUCCUGAGAGGGAGAUCCCCCACACUGGUACUGAGACACGGACCAGACUCCUACGGGAGGCAGCAGUGAGGAAU
rnacentral:rRNA from 1 species